GUUGAAAUAACUCAAUGGGGAGAGCGCUAGACUGAUGUUCUAGAGGCCCCAGGUUUAACUGCCCUGGUUUCAAGA